rnacentral:sRNA from 1 species
GAACAGGCUGUCACAUCGUUCGAGGAGC